rnacentral:rRNA from 1 species
UACAGAGGUCUCGAGCGUUAGGCGGAAUCACUGGGCUUAAAGCGUGUGUAGGCGGAUCGUUAAGUACCUUGUGAAAUCCCACGGCUUAACCGUGGAACUGCUUGGUGUACUGGCGGUCUUGAGCCAGCUAGGGGCUACCGGAACAAAUGGUGGAGCGGUGAAAUGCGUAGAUAUCAUUUGGAACGCCAAUGGUGAAAACAGGUAGCUGGGGCUGUGCUGACGCUGAGACACGAAAGCCAGGGGAGCAAACGGG